rnacentral:rRNA from 1 species
GGACAAUCUAACUUAAGGAGGCGGAUAACCUCGGGAAACUGAGGACAAACCGCCAUAGGAGUCAAGCACUGGAAUGUCUGACUCUUAAACAAAAAAGCCUGUAUUCGGCGUUUGCCUUAAGUUGAGUCUGCGUUGGAUUAGCUUGACGGUAGGGUAAUGGCCUACCGUGGCUGCGAUCCAUACCGGCCUUGGGAGAGGGAGCCGGGAGAUGGACACUGAGACAAAGGUCCAGGCUCUACGGAGUGCAGCAGUCGCGAAACCUUCGCAAUGCGCGAAAGUGGACGAGGGAACCCCAAGUGUGCAUGUUUAACAUGCACUUUUACUAAGCGUAGAAAGCUUAGGGAAUAAGGGCUGGGUAAGACUGGUGCCAGCCUCCGCGGUAACACUAGCAGCUCAAGUGGUGAUCACGUUUACUGGGUUUAAAGCGUGCGUAGUCGGUUUGGCAAGUUUUCUGUGAAAUCCUGGCGCCUAACGUCAGGGAUUGCAGAAAAUACUACCACGCUCGAGACCGGGGGAAGAGUGAUGUAUUCUAGGGGUAGCGGUGAAAUGCUAUAAUCCCUGGAGGACCACCAGUAGCGAAGGCGUCACUCUAGAACGGGUCUGACGAUGAGGUACGAGAGCUAGAGGAGCAAACAGGAUUAGAUACCCUGGUAGUCCUAGCCGUAAACGAUGCUGAUUUAGUGUUACCUGAACCUCGUGUUCGGGUAGCGCUGAAGGGAAACCGUUAAAUCAGCCACCUGGGGAGUACGGUCGCAAGGCUGAAACUUAA